AUUGAACGCUGGCGGCAGGCCUAACACAUGCAAGUCGAACGAGUAGAGGACGGGUGAGUAAUGUAUGGGCAACUGCGCGAUGGAGGGGGAUGACUAAUGGAAACGGUAGCUAAUACCGCAUACCAUCGGAUGUGCCCUGAGGGGAUUAGCUAGGAGGGGGGGUAAAGGCUCACCUAGGCGACGAUCCCUAGCUGGUCUGAGAGGAUGACCGUCCACACUGGAACUGAGACACGGUCCAGACUCCUACGGGAGGCAGCAGUGGGGAAUAUUGCACAAUGGGCGCAAGCCUGAUCCAGCCAUGCCGCGUGAAUGAAGAAGGUCUUCGGGUUGUAAAGUACUUUCAGCGAGGAGGCGUUACUCACAGAAGAAGCACCGGCUAACUCCGUGCCAGCAGCCGCGGUAAUAC
rnacentral:rRNA from 1 species